GCCACCUCUAUGAGCACACCUCAUAAACCGAGCUCUCACCAUUAAAAUAGAAGUUCUAUGAAUGAUAAUUUAUCCGCCGAAUUAUUCAUGAACAUCCACCAGUUAGUAUGAGGCUGUUUAAUGUUUCUCAAACAAUGACAUUCAUCUGAUAAGCAGGGAAAACAUUAAACUCACGAAUUUUAAAGCGGGUCCGUUACUGACAUGACUGAACUCACCUUUGAGCCUCUGAGACCGUGACGUCACCAGAGAUUAUCGACGUAUGACUCUUUUUCUGUGUUCCUCUUGAACAUGUAUCCGACUGGACAUCCUCCACAGCAGUUUUUCUACGUUUCAGUUUAGACUUUGAAGGAUUGUCAGCCAUUUAGUCGAGAAACUUUGGGGAGCAGCUUCGAAAUUUCGCGCUGUUGUGAGGAACGGGGACUUCCUGAUACCUCAAGCCUGACGUCACUUCUUUUUAGCCAAUUGGGGAAGAUUUUCCGCUGGACAUCCCCUGCGCAUGCGCCCCAGUGCAUGCCAACCGAGUAAACACGGGGGGAAAGAUACUGUACCGGGAGCUUUUGGCCAGAAGAGAGGGACCAACGCAGAGCGGCUGCAAUUAUGCAACGGGAAAAAAACAAGGGAAAGCUGGACUCAAAGGAAGGAAAAGAAAAGAAAGGAAAGAGAAGAAGAGGGGAGAGAGAGCGAUAUUUCAAAGAGCGGAAAACAGCACUAUGGGAAAGCCUGCCACUUUGAAAUAAGAGGGGAAGAAACACAAAAGCAGAGCAGUGGGCCAGCCCUGCGGUCCUCGGUGCUACUCUGGGAAAAAAGCAACCCGGCGCCUGGAAAGAAACGUUAUGUCAUCCGUCCCACGUGAUGAUGUGUUGUUCUCCGCUGCCAUGGAGACUGCGAAGACAGUGGGGAGAGUAAAAGUGAGGUAUCGAGGUUCUGUUUGAGUUAAAGAAACACAAAAAUGUGUUAUAUCACCAGGCAACUUCUCCGAGGAGUGAGGAGAACAUAAACAUGACUUCACUCAGGUGUUCCUUGUGGACUGGAGCCAGCUGGAAGACUGUCAGGAACUUGGAAGUUGAUUUUAUGUUGAAAGCAUGGACUUAAAGAUGUUUCAGAAUUAUUAAAACA